rnacentral:rRNA from 1 species
AUUGAACGCUGGCGGCAGGCCUAACACAUGCAAGUCGAGCGGAUGAAGAGAGCUUGCUCUCUGAUUUAGCGGCGGGCGGGUGAGUAAUGCCUAGGAAUCUGCCUGGUAGUGGGGGAUAACGUUCCGAAAGGAACGCUAAUACCGCAUACGUCCUACGGGAGAAAGCAGGGGACCUUCGGGCCUUGCGCUAUCAGAUGAGCCUAGUUCGGAUUAGCUAGUUGGUGAGUUAAUGGCUCACCAAGGCUACGAUCCGUAACUGGUCUGAGAGGAUGAUCAGUCACACUGGAACUGAGACACGGUCCAGACUCCUACGGGAGGCAGCAGUGGGGAAUAUUGGACAAUGGGCGAAAGCCUGAUCCAGCCAUGCCGCGUGUGUGAAGAAGGUCUUCGGAUUGUAAAGCACUUUAAGUUGGGAGGAAGGGCAGUAAGUUAAUACCUUGCUGUUUUGACGUUACCGACAGAAUAAGCACCGGCUAACUUCGUGCCAGCCGCCGCCGUAAAAC